GGAGGCCGAAACGUGCUCGUGGAGGCCGAGACUUGCGGCAGUUGGGGGCUGUGGGAGCGGCGCAUAUGCAAGGCUGCUUAGGGUUUUAGUUGCUGGACUAGGGUUCUUUUCUUUUUGUUUUUGUUUUUGGUCUAUUGGGCCUAUGCGGGCCUGUAUUUGUUGGGCUGUUAAUUUGUUUGAACUUGGGUCAAUUGGGCCCUAUUACAAUAGUAAUACCAGACAUAGCAAUGACACUUUUAUUAUCACGUCAUAUUAUUGGUAUACAUGACAAUUCAACAAGUUCAUCAAAUAAGGACUUAAGCCAUAUCAAUUUUGAAACUAUGCUAGCAACACUAUUGUAUUAUGCUUUGGAUAAGGCAACUCCA
rnacentral:lncRNA from 1 species